CCUACGGGGGGCAGCAGUGGGGAAUAUUGGACAAUGGGCGAAAGCCUGAUCCAGCCAUGCCGCGUGUGUGAAGAAGGCCUUCGGGUUGUAAAGCACUUUCAGUGGGGAAGAAAGCCUUGGGGCUAAUACCCUCGAGGAAGGACAUCACCCACAGAAGAAGCACCGGCUAACUCCGUGCCAGCAGCCGCGGUAAUACGGAGGGUGCGAGCGUUAAUCGGAAUUACUGGGCGUAAAGCGCGCGUAGGCGGUCUGAUAAGCCGGUUGUGAAAGCCCCGGGCUCAACCUGGGAACGGCAUCCGGAACUGUCAGGCUAGAGUGCAGGAGAGGAUGGUAGAAUUCCCGGUGUAGCGGUGAAAUGCGUAGAGAUCGGGAGGAAUACCAGUGGCGAAGGCGGCCUUCUGGACUGACACUGACGCUGAGGUGCGAAAGCGUGGGUAGCAAACAGGAUUAGAUACCCUAGUAGUC
rnacentral:rRNA from 1 species